UACGUAGGGACCAAGCGUUGUUCGGAUUUACUGGGCGUAAAGGGCGCGUAGGCGGCAUGACAAGUCACUUGUGAAAUCUCCGGGCUUAACUCGGAACGGUCAAGUGAUACUGUCGCGCUAGAGUGCGGAAGGGGCAAUCAGAAUUCUUGGUGUAGCGGUGAAAUGCGUAGAUAUCAAGAGGAACACCUGAGGUGAAGACGGGUUGCUGGGCUGAUACUGACGCUGAGGCGCGAAAGCUAGGGGUAGCAAACGGG
rnacentral:rRNA from 1 species